rnacentral:rRNA from 1 species
UACAGAGGUCUCAAGCGUUGUUCGGAAUCACUGGGCGUAAAGGGUGCGUAGGCGGCGGGGUAAGUCGGGUGUGAAAUUUGAAGGCUCAACCUUCAACUAGCACCUGAUACUGCUUUGCUUGAGGUCUGAAGAGGAGCUUGGAAUUCUCGGUGUAGCAGUGAAAUGCGUAGAUUUCGAGAAGAACGCUCGCAGCGAAAGCGAAGCUCUGGUCAGAUUCUGACGCUGAGGCACGAAGGCUAGGGGAGCAAACGGG